GGGGCUGUAGCUCAGUGGUAGAGCUCCUGCCUCGCGCGCAUGAGGCUCUGGGUUCCAUCCUCAGUACCA
rnacentral:tRNA from 1 species